rnacentral:lncRNA from 1 species
GUCAGUUUGUAGUUUAUUAGCCUCUUUUGUAUCCACCACCACAUCAUGCAUUAAUUAUAAUUCAAAUCAAUUAUCUUGUGCUUGGAUAACACACAAGAAUAAACUCUACCCCACAAAUUUCAAUUCAUUAUUUCUCAUACAACAAUGGUACUUUUGACAUCAUUUUGUUUUUUUUUUUUUUACUUCUAUUUGAUCUUAUAAAGAAUUGUCAAAUAGUAAUAACCGUUGUUAAAUAACCUUUGUCUAAUGAAACUUUGGCAAACAUAUCCCAACCUUUUUCUAAUGAAACACGGCAGUUUAUAAUCUGAUGGUUUUAGGAUUGUUUCUUCAUAGGAAGUUUCAUUAGAAAAAACUAAUGUAAACAUAGAUUUGGGAGCUUAAUGUUAUUUUUGUUUGGGCA